UGGUUACUCUCGUAAAAUCAAAACCAAGAGCAAGCAAGCGUUAAUUCUCUCUCUCUCUCUCUCUACAGCGAGUGAACAACUUUGGUUUCUUUAUUUUUCUUCUUUGCCUUGCCCUCUCUUCUCUCUCUUCUUUUACAAGUCCCAAACCACUCAACCUUCGUGCUCGUGAAACUUCACUUCUCUCUCUGUCAGAUAGAUUCAAUAAAAUGGACGAUAAUGUGGAAGGUACUAUAGUUAAAUCAGCCGAGCAGUUCCUUUCUCCAUGUUCUUCCAAUGUGGGUGAUAUUUUUGGAGAUCCAUUGGUACUUCCUCGAGUAGGAGAUCAGUACCAGGCAGAAAUUCCACCUCUAAUGAUAGAUUGUUAUCAUCGCCGGCUUAUGAAGAAACCAACUGAUACAGAAGUCAUGUCCGACUUUCCAAACUGUUUUGCACUGGGGUUACCCAUUCAAAUUAUGUGGGCUCUGUGUGAAAUUGAAAACGUAAAAAAGGAGUCUCUGGUUCGUGCUAAUCAAGAUCAUGCAGUUGAUAAAAAUUGGACAGUUUUUCGAGCAAGUGAAGUUAUAAUUAGACCUUUGCAUACUCCAUUGGACAAUGGAGAAAUAGGAUUGUCAACUAUUCAUCCCAUAAUUAGAGGUGAUAAGAUGGACGUUGAUUUUGCCACACCAGAAGAAAAGAAAACUAAGUUGGAUCGAGCGGACAAUGGUUAUUAUGUCCCUCUUCCUGGCUUGCUAGGUGAACCUUGGAGGGCCAUUGAACAUGAUAGUUUCCUCCUCGGUUUAUAUAUUUUUGGAAAGGAUCUUCUUCUUGUGAAAACAUUUGUCAAGAGUAAAGAGAUGGGGGAUAUACUUUCAUACUACUAUGGAAAGUUUUACAGGUCUAAUGAACACCGCAGAUGGUCAGAGGGCCGAAAGAUGAGAAGCAGACGGUGUAUACAUGGACAAAAAAUUUUCAUAGGUUGGAGGCAGCAGGAACUAUUAUCACGUUUGUCUUCUCAUGUGUCAGAAGAAUGCCAAAAUAGGUUGAGGGAGGUCUCUAGGGCAUUUGGAGAGGGAAAAUUUUCACUGGAGGAGUACGUUUUUACUUUAAACGAUACAGUUGGUGUCGGCGUUCUUGUAGCAGCAGUAGGUAUUGGCAAAGGGAAGCAAGAUCUCACUGGAACUGCUAUGGACCCUAUAAAGACCAAUAAUUUGUUGUCUGUUCGUCCUGAAAUUCCAAUUGGCAAAGCAUGUUCCACUCUUACAUCAGGGGAUAUCAUCAAGUUUUUAACAGGAGAUUUCCGGUUAAGCAAAGCCAGAUCAAACGAUCUGUUUUGGGAAGCAGUAUGGCCACGUCUUUUAGCAAGAGGAUGGCACUCUGAACAGCCUAAGGAUCAUCAUUGUUUUUCCAGUUCAAAGCAUUCUUUAGUGUUUCUUAUACCGGGUGUUAAGAAGUUCUCAAGAAGGAGACUUGUCAAAGGAAACCAUUAUUUUGAUUCUGUUAGUGAUGUCUUGAAUAAAGUUGCAUCAGACCCUGGGCUUCUCGAGGUUGAAGUUGAAGCAGAAAAAGCCAGCGAACAAAAGGAAGAAUAUCAAUCAGACUUGCCCGUAAAACAAUGCCCAGAUAGUUUGAUGAACUGGCAACGCCAUUGUUACCUCCAACCACCUGCUUCGAAUUGCAAUGGAGAUCUCGUGAAGUUUACAAUAGUGGAUACGAGUUUGCUUCAUGGAGGAGGGUCCAAAUUCAGAGAGUUGAGAACAUUACCCAUUGACACUAGAAAUAUAUCUAUGCUCUCUGAUCUUUCCAGUGGAACCGAACAAGAUUCCUCUGAUGAAUCUCAAUAUGAAGCAGAGGAAAUUAAUGCUUCAAACCCAGCGGAAGAUACAACUGAGAGCGAAACAUUUGUCGACUCACCAGAAUUAAAUAGCAUUCGAGACAAUGGUUUGCCUAAUGAUCCAGAUCUGACCAUUCUAGUUGGGGGAAAUCACAAGGAUUGGAGCACUGGUAUGUGUACCAAAAAGAAGUUGAAGGGGAUGAUGAAAUUUCGGUUUGGUCAGAAGGCGAGAUCUGACCAGUCAAAUUAUCUAGCCCCCAUUGCGGAACCUUGUAGCCUUGGAGAAUCAAGCCCCAUAGUUGAAAACAUCCCCACAGACACCAAGCUAAAAGAAGAGUCAUCUACUUAUGGUUUGAACUCGCCUGGUAUAUGUCAGAGCAUGGAAUUUCAAGUGGGUCCAUCUCAAACUUUAUCAUCUUGCAGUUCUUUGGCUCUGGAGAACCCAGAUGAGAGUGAUCAAGGCAUUGUUGAUCUAGUCACAGAACCAUCUUUUGAGAAGCCUCAACCCGAGACUAUGAUUGACCUGAACCUUCCUGGUAUCCCUCAAGAUUCAGGAAGUGAUGAAACCAUCAUUGAAACCAUCGUCCCUGAUAUUGUGCACAAUAAUGAUGUUGAAACCAUCAUCACAGACAUUGUGCACGAUAAUGAUGUUGAAACCAUCGUCACAGAGAUUGUGCACAAAAAUGAUGUUGAAACCAUCAUCACAGACAUUGUGCACAAUAAUGAUGAUUUGGGUGAAGAUAGGUCACUUGUUCUGCCUGAAACAAGCCAGCAGUCCUCGAAUGGUGGAGCUAGUGCAGAGCAACAACCUGCCUUGAAUGGUCGGAGGCAGAGUACAAGAAACAGGCCAUUGACAACAAAGGCACUGGAGGCUAUUGCAUGUGGGUUUCUUGGCACAAAGAAGAAGAGGAAGUGUGUGGAUGGUCAAACUCAAAGUGAUUCAAUGUCAAGGUCUUCUCGACUGGUCCGUGGCAAGUCUGAUGCUAAUUCAACUUUAAACGAUUGUGCAGAUAAUGAUAUUGCAUAGUGCAAUAUAGAAGAUGUGGUGGAUGGAGCAGCAUUGUAACAUUAACAUGGUUAGCGAGUCUCAGGAAUGAUCUGAACAGAAAGGUUUGAAGGGUUGAUGGUGUUAUCAAAGCCAUAUGAAGUAUGUAUGUAUAUACCUUGGGAUUCUGUUGCUUAGAACAUGAAAUGGUGAGAGGUUUCCUAAGACUCGAUUCACUUUCAAAGGUCUUUCGACACAAUCCCAACACAACUUGCAGUGGUGCUAAUUGAAGAUUAACAGGAAAAGUAUUUCAAGUGCUGAUCAUGUUGAUGUGGAUUGCAAAAGUUUGUGUUUCAAUCACUCUGAUAGUGUCCAAGUUCUUGAAACUGUGCAGCCUGGUCAUACAAAGGUGGGACGGUAAGAUCACAGAUCUCUUUCCUGUCCUUCUUUAAUCUGUCCCACAAGCAGUUGGUGACUGUUUUUGCCAUUAUAGGCGGCGUUUGGAUGGCCUGAUUUAAGGAUCUGGAUUGAAUAUUAUCCCCAUUUGGAAGGCCUAAACAAGAAAAUGCCGAACUAGCUUGGCCCACUCCAAUGUCUCUGGACUCAAGAUGAAAACAGAGUACACACUGGAUUGCCCAUGAGCCUAAUCUUGGCCCAGACUAUGUGCGAGUUUCCCUAAACAUUGUUCAUGAAGGAUAUCCUUAGAUGCUCCAAAAGAGAGAGGAUUAACUUAGACAUGACCCAAAAAAGGUCAAACAUUUUUUUUUCCAAUUUCUUUUGUCAUCUUUGUCCUAAUGUACUCUUUACUGUAAGAUAGAAUCUUGAGACAUGAUCUAGUAAUCAAAAUU